AAGGUAUUAAUAAAACAAUUAUAUAACUUUGUCAAAGUUAAAUUAUAGGUUAAAGCCCUUUAUACCUUU
ensembl:Mt_tRNA